AUGGCCCUUGCUGCGGCGGCGCAGCCGCUGCUAGUACCCGACGACAUCCUGGCAUGCGUCCUCGGCCACCUCGCGCCGCGCAGCCUCGCCGCGUGCCGUUGCGUCUGCAAAAGCUGGCGCGCUGUCAUCGACGACCGCCGCCUGCUGCGGGCAGACCUCCUCCCGCUCUCGCUCCAUGGGAUCUUC
rnacentral:rRNA from 1 species